AACAUUUCGGGAGAGGAAAGGGCCAGGGCUAGUGCAGCUCAGAAAAUCAUCCGAACUCUUUAAAUCACAGCUGCACAGGUGACUUGAUUUAGAGGGAGAGGUGUAAACUGUCAUUAUCUGUGAAUACUGAGCUCUAAUCCUGUAGAGCUGCAGUGGAGACUGCUAGAGAAGAUGAUUCCUGAUCUGAAAACAAUUCCAGCCUGGAGGAUCCUAAGGCAUUUCCUUGUAAGGGUAGUUUUCUUCUGUGCGGAAAAGAAAUGAAAGAACAUGUGCAAAUAUGGGUGGGAGAAGAAGAAACAGAGACAGAGAGAGAGAGAGACAGAUAAGUUGCAAAAACUUGGAUCUUUGUAUUUCUUUCUUUUCUUUUUCUUUUCUUUUCUUUUCUUUUUUCUUUUUUUUUUUUUUUUUUGAGACAGAGUUUCUUCUUUCUUGUUGCCCAGGCUGGAGUGCAAUGGUGCUAUCUCGGCUCACCGCAACCUCCGCCUCUCGGGUUUAAGUGAUUCUCCUGCCUCAGCCUCCCAAGUAGCUGGGAUUACAGGCAUGAGCCACCGCACCCGGCCUGGAUCUUUGUAUUUCUACGGUGUUUUUAGUUUAAGGAUCAUUUACACUUUAGGAGGUUUUUGUUUUUUCUGUCUUUCUUAUGUAAUAAUUAUGGGUGAGCCCUGAGAAAUGACUCAAAGCAAAAAUAAUGGGGUUUUCUUGAUUAUAGUUCCUCAUUUUUCCUGGCCACAGGCCAACCCUCAAUAUCCUCCACCUUUAUAAGGAAGACAGCUUCAACCCAGCCCUAAAGGGUGACUCCAGCCUCUUAUGAUCUUUCUUUCAUGUUGCAAACUGGACUCUCUUCUUCCAACUUUCUAAUUGCAAAAUUGCUCUUUAUUUUUAUGGGUUCUUAUUACUUCCAACCCAGGUGUGAAAAUGUCUUCUUGGACACCCUUAUCCCAUCUGUAGGGCCUGUGUAGGUCCCUCUUUCUCUCAUUCUUAGUUGAGGAUUGACUGAGUAGACUGCACAAUGAUGACCAUAUUUUAAAAGGGACAAAGGUCACAUAGCGAAGUCUCUGUUCAUUCUCCCAGGCACAAUCCCUUCUGUCUGGAUUCUGGUUGGGGCCAGGCUCAGACUUUUGUGCAUAUAGGAGGUGCUGCCAUAAUUAGCCCAUUUUGCUGGUUUUGUGCAUACCCUUCUUGGUAUAGGGCAGGCAGGAAAUUAGACUGUGUUAUGGAUUUGGUGGUCAUAUUUUAUGAACCCCAAAUCUAGAAUUGUGCUCUGGUGAGUAUAGGGUGCUAAUGGAAAAACUGAACAAAACAUAUGGAAAUAAGGCCACCCUGGAAAAGUAAUGAGAGUUCAUAGUAUUUCCUUCCAGUAGCUUGGAGAGAAUAUCAAAUAUCACAUGUUUAUUAAUAAUGUUGGUUUUUUUUUUGAGAUGGAGUCUCGCUCUGUUGCCCAGACUGGAGUGCAGUGGCGUGAUCUCUGCUCACUGCAAGCUCCGCCUCCUGAGUUCAUGCCAUUCUCCUGCUUCAGCCUUCUGAGUAGCUGGGACAACAGGUGUCCGCCACCAUGCCCAAUUAAUUUUUUUGUAUUUGUAGAGAUGGGGUUUCACCGUGUUAGCUAGGAUGGUCUCGAUCUCCUGACCUUGUGAUCCGCCCGCCUUGGCCUCCCAAAGUGCUGGGAUUACAGGCGUGAGCUACCGUGCCCGGCUAUUAAUAAUGUUAACAAUAACUAAUGAUUAUUGAGCAUUUACUACAUGUCAGGUCCUGAAUUAUGUAUAUUAUUUCAUUUACUCCUCAUAAAAGGGUUCCUUCUAGGAGCUAGGGGAGAAAACCAGCCAUUAUAUAGUCAAUAAUAAUAUUAAUGGUAAUAAUAGUUAUUAUAUAUAACAGUUAUAUAUUACAUAACAUAUGCUGGCCCGAAUUGAACAUAUUCUCUAAUUUGAUUUUUGAAUAUUUAAAAAUAUACACAUAUAUUUGUUUUUUUUUUUUAAGAGAUGGAGGAGUCUCACCAUGUUGCCCAAGCUGGCCUCAAACCCCUGGCCUCAAGUGAGCCUCCCACCUCAGCCUCCCAAGUAGCUGCCACCAUGCAGUCUCUAAUUUAAAUUUUAAACAAACCCUAGAUGUUAUUAUUAUCUUAGAGUAGGCUGCUUCUAAAAUAGCUCCCAAUGAUCCUCUUGCUGGUCUUUACAUCCUUGUGUAAUCUCCUUGAGUGUGGGCUGGACCUAAUGACUUACUUCUAACUCACAGGAUGUGGCAACAGUGAUGGGAUGUCACAUCUGUGAUUGGAUUACGAAAGACUGUGCCUUCUGUUUUGCUAUUACUGUCUCUGGUGAGUCCUCUCUCUUGCUCUUGCUUGCUUGCACUGAUGAAGUAAGCUGCCACGUUGUGAGAUGCUCAACGAAGAGGCCCAUGAGGCAGGGCACCGAGGGAGGCUUCUGGCCAACAGCUCCUGGGGAACCAAGGCCUUAGGAAGUGAGUCCUGCCAACAAUAACGAGAGCCUUGAACUUUGAAACCACAGUACCUUGUUCCAGCGUGGAAAGCAGCGUGGCACUUCCCGGUGGUGAAAGCACCCCAGCUUGAAAGGGUGAAAACACCUUCUCCCAGAUAGUCUCCCUUUGUUUAGCCAGUGCUUUUGCCUUAAGGAAAUCAAAUGAAGGGGUCAGCCAGGAGUGGAUCUGGAAGCUGGAGAACUCUCAAUACGCCACUUCAGUUUAUUGACGACAUUUAUAAUUGCAACCGAAGUUGACUGAUUUCUGCUAAAUGAAAGUUUGCGCUUUGCCCUUUAGCAUUGAGGCUCCUGGAAAGAACUUCAAUGAAAUUGGAUGCAUUGAGACCAAAGAAAAGAAGGGGACAUUUUUAUCUCUCUGAUACCUUUCUCCCCAGGGCUUGGAAACACUUCUUAAACACAACCUCUAAUGUUGGUGUUUUGUAAGUACUACCCCUAUGAAUAAAGCUAGCAGAGAUAAGCUUCUCCUUGCAGGAAGUGAGCUGGAGAAGUGGAAAAGUUUACAGAGAAAACUCUACAACAAAGACUUAACCCUUC
rnacentral:lncRNA from 1 species